rnacentral:tRNA from 1 species
AGAUGGCUCAGUGGUUAAGAGCAUUAGCUGCUCUUCCAGAGGACCUGGGUUCAAAUCCCAGCAUCUA